AAGCGAUGUGACGCUGGAAAACGUAUAGUUGAGAAUGAGGCAGAUAGUGUGCACUGCAAAUUGUAUAAAGAUAAAAGAAAAUAUAUAACACCAAAGGAAUAGCAAACAUAGCAAUCAACAACUAAGCAAUAUAAGCAGCUGGCAAGCCUUCACAACCAGCUAGCUAGUUUGCCCAGCCACAGGCCCAGUCAGUUUGCGGCACUUGCCAACAAAGCUAUUAUGGCGUUUUGUUUACUUUACGAAUAACAUGUACGGCGAUUGCAACACAACAACGUCAGCGGCUGCCGUCUUCUCAUUUCGAUCCAUCGAUGCAAUGUUGUUCGUUCACCUCUUUGGCCCACUCCCUCAACACCAUUCACCGCCGCCGUAGUAAAUAGUUGCCAAUGACUUAAAGUCAGCAGAAAUGCAUACAAAUACUUUUGAAUAUGUGUGUAUGUGCAUCAAAUGCAGACAUUUUUCUUUGCGCUGUUAUUUCCCAUUCUUCUCUUUCUUGUGUCAAAUGUUUGCUUUGCUGCCUCACAGAUUCUUUUUCAUUUAUAUGCAAUUCUAUUCGCAUACUACAAUUACACAUUAUAUUAUUCAAUAAUGGCCGGUAGCUCGUAAGUUUCACCGCCAAUAUACUAGUAGCGAGUUUUUUUUGGCAAAAACAAAAAUUUCACUUAUCGUAGCUUGAUAGCGCCCUGUUCUCAUCUUGGUUUAAUGAAUUUGUUGCAAAAGCAACUUUUUUUAUACAGCAAUAAAAAUUUAUUUUUAAACUUUCGUUGCAUAUAAAGAAAAAAAUGGAUACACAAAAAGUGAUACGACAAAUUUCAAUGCCUAAAAAUAUCAAAUUAGACACAGCUAUAACACAACGAAUGGUUUGUCUCUAACGAAUUGUGUAUUUCAGUGAGCUUAUGAGAAAUGCUUGUUUUUAAAGUGCAAAUGCAUACUUCGGACUGCUGUUUUACAAUUAGAAACUUUAACACUAAGAGAUAUUCAAUAUCAUGUAAUAUACUUUAAUUUCAUCUAGCACCUACGCAAAUAUUACAAAAUCUUUGAAAGAAUAAUUCAUAAAGCAUGAGAAAUUUGGAUUUAGUAUUUACAUACAUACAUAUACAUAUGUAUGUAGUGGAUUAUAACAAUUAAAUUUAUUUAAACUAAGUACGCACGCACACAUAAGCAUAUUUAUAUGAAUAUAUUUGACCAAGGUCUACAUCUCACCUUGAUCUAGUGUAACCUGUAUUAGGCCACUUACAUAUGUAUUUCUCCCAUGCUAUUCUUAGUGAACUUCAUAAAAUGCUUUGUUCAAAAUAUGUGCUCCCAAUUAAUUUGUGUAUUAGCGCAAAGUUUAUUUACAUAUACAUAUAUGCAAAUAGUUUUAAAAUUUUUAGUGAACAAAUAUGUAUGUUGUUUCACAAAAUAUGAACCACUUAUGAAAAGCAUACUUUUACCAAAAAGUCAUAUUAGAUUAUAUCUGAAUGCCCAAGAAUUUGUGCUUUCUUCCUAGUGCUGAACACAGUUUGUUAUCUCGAAAAUAUUUACGGUGUUAAAAGAUAUUAAAAUUGAUUAAUUGUAAUUUAUUUGUGUGAGAGCCAGACAUGACGCAUAUAGCUAGGUUUAAAUGAACGUAAGUAAUGCAAAUGUUGUAAAUAAGCGCCCACCCACCCACAUACUACUUUAUACACACAUACAUAAAUGUAUCACUUAUAAAUAACCUCGUUUCAGUAUCAUCAAAUCAUCAUAAUGUAAGACCUUGUAUAAUUUAUUCUUAUUUUAAUUCACUUUUUGAAAUUGACGAUCAGUAAAAUCGAAAACUGUGAAGCUUAGAUUAGUACGUGCAUAGAUUUCCAUACAUCCAUACUUUUAUUUAUACCAACCUAAAGGUUCCGUAUAAUUUGAAUGAAGCGAAGCAAAUCCGAAUGAUUUAUAACUGACGAGUGAAAAGGGUGCUCAUAGCAUAGACAUACAACUAUUUUUAUGAAAACACAACAAAAUGCAAAGCAAUCUAUUAGUCAGCUUAGAAAUAAUAUUGUAUAUGAAUUUCAACUAAAAAUUACUUCUACAUUAUUGUUUAUUCAAUUAGUUGUAUGGGUAUGCAGCAUAAGUACACAUUACAUACAUAUGUAUACAUAUACAUAUGUAUGUAUGCAUAUACCAUUUAGAUUUAGACAGGAAAUGGGGCGACAGAUAUGAUUCGCAGCACAGCACAUAUACUAUGUUAACUACAUACAUACAUACAUAUGUAUACCAAACAUUUUAAUAAUGUUUUCACAAGUAGAAUAAUAAAUGUAGUAUUUUAAAGCGGUAUGGCGUAUGUAAAACGAACCUAUAACCCCUACAUAUACAAAUAUAAUGAAUUAUUUGUUAUGUUAAUUACAUUUUCUUGUAUGUCUCUGAUUUCUUAAGCCUCUUGACUGCCUUAUAGCACCUUUUUUUGUACACAUAAGUAUGUAUGUAUGUACAUAUGUAUGUAUGUAUUAAUUCAAAAAUAAGUUUGUUAAAACAAUCGUGCCGACGAUGCGUAAAAUCGAUGCAGUAGGUGUCUAAUGUAGAAAUAAUUUAAAAUUCAAUGAAAACAAUUGUAAAAAUUAAUAAAAAAAAAAAUAAAAUGUAAUUGAUAUUCUGCAGCUAUAAAAAACAAAAAUUACUUAUAGUUAUGCCACGUUUACACUGUAGCUAAUUUCGUUAAAGGGAAUAUUAUAUGAAAAAUAUUUUUAAACGUCUUCAUACAUUUAUGUUUUGCCGAAAAUGUCAAAAAUGUGAACGAACUGAUAUACCACAAAACUUGUAUACAAUACAAAUAUAUAUUUUUUUACAAUUUUUAGAGCUACAUAUGUAUACUGCAUAUAACAAUUUAUUGCAUAUAUUUUUCAACACAUACCCAUUAUAUAUACAAUUUACGCGCAUUAAAUAGAAAUAUUAAUUAUCUCAAAACUUCGUUUAGGGGUAUAUUCGUAAAAUUUCGCAAUAUUUAGUUAAUACAUUUUUUACGAAUAUUCUACAUAUGGCAUACAGAACUCGUUUUUCAACUUUUGCUUUCGUUACACCAUCAAGAAAGAACCAAGCAGAAGAAAACAGCAGAAAAAUAAAAUAUGUAUAAAAGAAAAAUAAUAAAUAACAUAAUGGAUGACAAGGAUAA